GAAGGUCCCUGGGCGUCCGCGCCCGGGGAGACGCCGCCGGGGGGAGGAAAGUCCGAACUCCGCAGGGCAGUGCGCCGGGUAACGCCCGGUCAGGGUGACCUGAAGGAAAGUGGCACAGAAAACAUACCGCCAGUCUUCGCCCUCGACGCUUCGCAUUGCGAGGCUGCGGCCGGCAGGCCCCUGAAGGGCUUGCCCGCCGGAGCUUGAGCAGUGGAAGGGUCGAGGGCGAAGGCGGGUAAGGGUGAAAAGGUGCGGUAAGAGCGCACCGCGCCGUCUCGCCGAAGCAACGGCCGGGAUUCCCGGCCGUUGCGAAGGCGGACCGUGGGACCGGUCCGGUUCCGCGCGCGGCAACGCGGGUGGCAGGCAAAACCCCGCACGGAGCAAGACCGAAUAGGGAGGCGUCACCAGGACGGCCCGUCCGACGCUUUCGCCAACGUCCCGGUUCGCCGGGGCCGCGGCGGGGCGACAGCCUCCGGGUUGGUCGCUGGAUCCCGCCAGCAAUGGCGGGGCUAGAGGAAUGAUCGUCGUCCGCCGGCGCCCGGCGUGAGCCGGGCGAAGGCGGAAACAGGAUUCGGCUUACGGCUGCUCUGCGGCC
rnacentral:RNase_P_RNA from 1 species